rnacentral:rRNA from 1 species
GCUGGGAUGUGAUGGGGAGCGAAAUUUAGUAGCGAAGUAGCUGAUUUCACACUGUCAAGAAAAGUCUCUAUCGAGGUUAAAGGUACCCGUACCGCAAACCGACACAGGUGGGUGAGGAGAGUAUCCUAAGGCCAGCGAGAGAACUGUUGUUAAGGAACUCGGCAAAAUGACCCCGUAACUUAGGGAUAAGGGGUGCCACCAUCCGGUGGCCGCAGAGAAUAGGCCCAAGCGACUGUUUACCAAAAACAUAGGUUUCUGCUAAGUCGCAAGACGAUGUAUAGGAGCUGACGCCUGCCCGGUGCUGGAAGGUUAAGGGGAUCUGUUAGAGCAAUCGAAGCAGUGAACUUAAGCCCCAGUAAACGGCGGCCGUAACUAUAACGGUCCUAAGGUAGCGAAAUUCCUUGUCGGGUAAGUUCCGACCCGCACGAAAGGCGUAACGAUUUGGGCACUGUCUCAACAACAGACUCGGUGAAAUUGUAAUUCCGGUGAAGAUGCCGGAUACCUGCGACAGGACGGAAAGACCCCAUGGAGCUUUACUGUAGCUUGACAUUGGGUCUUGGUACUACAUGUACAGGAUAGGUGGGAGGCUUUGAAACCAGGACGCCAGUUUUGGCGGAGCCAUCCUUGGGAUACCACCCUUGUAGUACUGGGACUCUAACCAUAGGCCAUGAAUCUGGUCUUGGGACACUGUCAGGUGGGCAGUUUGACUGGGGCGGUCGCCUCCCAAAAGGUAACGGAGGCGCUCAAAGGUUCUCUCAGUACGGUCGGAAAUCGUACGUAGAGUGUAAAGGCAAAAGAGAGCUUGAUUGCAAGACAUACAGGUCGAGCAAGGAUGAAAAUCGGACUUAGUGAUCCGGUGGUUCUGCGUGGAAGGGCCAUCGCUCAACGGAUAAAAGCUACCCUGGGGAUAACAGGCUUAUCUCCCCCAAGAGUCCACAUCGACGGGGAGGUUUGGCACCUCGAUGUCGGCUCAUCACAUCCUGGGGCUGUAGUAGGUCCCAAGGGUUGGGCUGUUCGCCCAUUAAAGUGGUACGCGAGCUGGGUUCAGAACGUCGUGAGACAGUUCGGUCCCUAUCCGUCGCAGGCGUAGGAAAUUUGAGAAGACCUGUCCUUAGUACGAGAGGACCGGGAUGGACGUACCUCUGGUGUACCAGUUGUUCUGCCAAGGGCAUGGCUGGGUAGCUAUGUACGGAAUGGAUAAGCGCUGAAAGCAUCUAAGCGCGAAGCCAACUUCAAGAUAAGAUUUCCCACCGCAAGGGUAAGACCCCAGAAAGACUAUCUGGUUGAUAGGUCGAAGGUGUAAGUGCAGCAAUGUAUUUAGCUUAUCGAUACUAAUAGGUCGAGGACUUGACCAA